CCUGUUCCCAUGCCGAACACAGAAGUUAAGCUCUUUAGCGCCGAUGGUAGUCGGACUUACGUUCCGCAAGAGUAGGACGGUGCCAGGU
rnacentral:rRNA from 1 species